GGAAGUUCUCCAGCACCUAAGCUGGAGCAGCCAACAUUAAGGAGAAACUGAUGAUCAAGACAUCUAAAGUACAGGGGAACAUUAUGGGAAGAGGCUGACUGACGCUGCGGCUGACAGUGCAGCCGCAAUCACCCUGCCUGCAUGACCACUCUCGCCUGCUGCCAUAUUUUCCGCAUCCAUUGCUACUGCUGCACUCUUCAUUUCCAUCCCUCCUUCCCAGAAUGCCGGUUCGGGAGCAAUGUCAUCAUCACGGCAUUCUGGGAGCAGCCGCAGGGGAGAGAAGACAGAGGAGCAUCAGCUGCAGCGCGUAGGGUGAUGGCACGUAGUACUACUACAUGUAGCCGCACGCCCUCCCAUCCAUUCUGCAGCCUAAUUGCCCUGAGGAGGAGAUUCAUCACCCAGGCAGUCCUGGAUCCCUGCCCCAGCAGCACAGCAUAGAAGCUGCAGCAUCAGCACUGACAGGAGGAUAUGCAAACGCCCUGCCAGGAUUUUUUUCUUGAAAUGUUGCAGUUUCUUCCUGAUGAACAUGAAUAUGUAUUUUUAUAUUUUUCAUUAGACAACAGAAAUUUGAAAUGAUAGCAAAGUGAUGAUUUUAUUGAUUCCGGAUGUAAUCACAUCAACGGUAUACCGACGCCAGAAUCUCGACCACUAGAAAUGCCGACUAACAGGGACUAUUUCCAUGACACCCCCCACUGGCAUUCCGGCAUCCAGGAUCCUGGCAUGGGGAUGCUGUAAAUGAUCGCCACUUUAACAAAAAAAACAGGAGAACUCUCACAAAAUUUCUCACUUUCUCAUUCUCACACCCUGUUACAUUCCCCCCAUAGUUUGUAUUUUGUGGCCACAAGGCUACAUGUGGCUGAUUUUAGAAACUGAAAUUAGUUCAUGGAAAAAC